rnacentral:rRNA from 1 species
GGAGCGGCCGAUAUCUGAUUAGCUAGUUGGUGGGGUAAAGGCCUACCAAGGCGACGAUCAGUAGCUGGUCUGAGAGGACGACCAGCCACACUGGAACUGAGACACGGUCCAGACUCCUACGGGAGGCAGCAGUGGGGAAUUUUGGACAAUGGGCGCAAGCCUGAUCCAGCCAUUCCGCGUGAGUGAAGAAGGCCUUCGGGUUGUAAAGCUCUUUCGCAAGGGAAGAAACGAUACAGUCGAAUAAACUGUGUUAAUGACGGUACCUUGAUAAGAAGCACCGGCUAACUACGUGCCAGCAGCCGCGGUAAUACGUAGGGUGCGAGCGUUAAUCGGAAUUACUGGGCGUAAAGCGUGCGCAGGCGGUUUUGUAAGUCAGAUGUGAAAUCCCCGGGCUCAACCU